GGAAGCCAGAGUUGCACUUGCCUCAAAUUUCAAAGACGGAGGAAGCGUCUGCUGAGUUCUCCAGCGUGAACCUCUCCGCUCUCCUCUGGCGCUCCUGGAACAUGAUGGAUCCUCUGUUGUUGUUCAGGUUCAGCUCCUCCAUCAUCACAUCCCUGGGAACGCUGAUCUUCUUCCCAAGAGUUGGAUUCAUCUGAGCUGGAGCUGCUGUGAGCCCAGAUCAGACACUGUGGCUUACGUCAAUGGAAAAUCGCAAACAAACAUACUGAGGCAUUGGGAUAGUUUGAGGAAUGUUUUGUAUGUGGAGACUUCCCUCCGCUUAGAUCACUCAACUGACUGAGGAAGAAUCUGCUUUGAUCUGUUCUGCUCCUGUCAGUCAACUGCACCGUCUCUCAUAUGAGUCCUUACACGACUGAAGACCAAACACCGUCACCUUAUGAUUGCCCUGAUUAAUUGUGAAUGAUAUGUCAUUUUGUAGGAAUGUGUGUGUGUGUUUUUUGCUUCUAUAGGGCUUCAUCUAAGUGUUUCUGUAGUGUGUGAGUCUGUUAUUCCAAUAUCCGAAAUUUUGACCCUGUGGGGACUUUUUUUUUUUUUUGGUUGUCAUGAGGAAAAUAGCUUAAAUCAUACAAUUUUUUUUUUUUUUUGAUUUCUGUGAGGGAUAGGUUUAGGGUAAGGGAAUAGAAAAUAUUGUUUUUACAGUAUAACAUCAUCAUGUCUAA